GCCUUUUCUCAUGGUGCUCUAUCUGAAAGGAAGGAAAUUGAGAUUCCACCCCAAAUCCCAGCGCAUAGUUUGGAGGAUUCCCACAUCUUCCAAGGAUUAAGUCACCACAUGGAGAGCCUAAAAGUGCCUGGAGGACAAGACCAUUUUUAGAAGGCUGGGUAGGAAGAAGAGCUAAGAGGCUGAAAUCCUUUGUAGCUUGCCCCAAAGACAGAUUCACCAAGGGAUUUCCAGAGGAAGAAUGAGAUCCAGCUCAUUCAGAUGGUGGGGGAAAGGAGCCAAAUGACCUAAAAAGAGCACAUCCUUGGGCUGACAAAUCAGGAUCCCACAGCCAAUACCUUGCUACAGAGCAAGCCUUUUGGGGGUCUUCAAGGUGCCCCCCAGCAGAGACUCAGAGCCUUGCCAAGCUGUACAGGACAAACCCUGCUGAAAGACAAAGGGGAAAUAAAUGGGAUUGCCUCCUGUUUGAAAAUUCAAAUGAUUCAGAAUCUGAAAGCAAUGUCAGCAACAUGAAGUGGACUGCCACCAUGAAACCUUCUGGAGAAAACACUGCACCCUACUCAGAUGCACUGGAUCCCACUUCAUCCCUUCCCUGCUGAUGGGGAGAGAAGGAAGGUCCAUGUCUACUACACAGUUUGACUCAACCCUCCAGGGCUGGGAGAGACCAAGGAGAGCCUAGGGAAUUUCCAAAGGAAGGAAACCCAGAAAAUCAAGUGGCAGAGGAGUGAGACUGCUGAAGAACAUGUUUUCUUCUUCAGCAAGUCAUCUUUGCAAUUGUACCCUGUGGAAAAAAGGACCAAUCCAUGCAAAAUUCCUGGCAGAUUGUUUAGAAGGUGGCAGGAAGGUUCAGAAGAAGGACAGAGUUCCCCC